GUCGAGAAUCUUUCACAAUGGGGGCAACCCUGAUGGAGCGACGCCGCGUGGAGGAUAAGGUCUUCGGAUUGUAAACUCCUGUCAUGCGUGAACAAGGUUGCUUGGUUAAUACCUGGGCAAAUUGAUGGUAACGCAAGAGGAAGAGACGGCUAACUCUGUGCCAGCAGCCGCGGUAAUACAGAGGUCUCAAGCGUUGUUCGGAAUCACUGGGCGUAAAGGGUGCGUAGGUGGCGUGGUAAGUCAGAUGUGAAAGCCUGGGGCUCAACCUCGGAACUGCAUCCGAUACUGCCAUGCUAGAGUACUGGAGAGGUGACUAGAAUUCUCGGUGUAGCAGUGAAAUGCGUAGAUAUCGAGAGGAAUACCAAAGGCGUAGGCAGGUCACUGGACAGUUACUGACACUGAGGCACGAAGGCCAGGGGAGCGAACGGGAUUAGAAACCCCGGUAGUCC
rnacentral:rRNA from 1 species